rnacentral:rRNA from 1 species
AUAUUGCACAAUGGGCGCAAGCUGAUGCAGCCAUGCCGCGUGUGUGAAGAAGGCUCUAGGGUUGUAAAGCACUUUCAGCGAGGAGGAAAGGUUAUUGGUUAAUACCCAAUAGCUGUGACGUUACUCGCAGAAGAAGCACCGGCUAACUCCGUGCCAGCAGCCGCGGUAAUACGGAGGGUGCGAGCGUUAAUCGGAAUUACUGGGCGUAAAGCGUGCGUAGGCGGCUACUUAAGUGGGAUGUGAAAGCCCCGGGCUCAACCUGGGAACUGCACCCCAAACUGGGUAGCUAGAGUGCGAGAGAGGAGUGUGGAAUUUCCUGUGUAGCGGUGAAAUGCGUAGAUAUAGGAAGGAACACCAGUGGCGAAGGCGACACUCUGGCUUGACACUGACGCUGAGGUACGAAAGCGUGGGGAGCAAACAGGAUUAGAUACCCUGGUAGUCCACGCCGUAAACGAUGUCGACUAGUUGUUGGAAGUCUUAGUACUUUUGGUGACGAAGCUAACGCGAUAAGUCGACCGCCUGGGGAGUACGGCCGCAAGGUUA